rnacentral:rRNA from 1 species
GGAGAGAAUCCUAAGGCGCGCGAGAGAACCCUCGUUAAGGAACUCGGCAAAAUGACCCCGUAACUUCGGGAGAAGGGGUGCUCCGUUAUCGUUAGGAAACGAAGCGAGAGGGAGCCGCAGAGAACAGGCCCAGGCGACUGUUUACCAAAAACACAGGUCUCUGCGAAAUCGAAAGAUGAAGUAUAGAGGCUGACGCCUGCCCGGUGCCGGAAGGUUAAGGGGAAAGGUUAGCGGGAGACUGCGAAGCUUUGAACCGAAGCCCCGGUGAACGGCGGCCGUAACUAUAACGGUCCUAAGGUAGCGAAAUUCCUUGUCUGGUAAGUUCAGACCCGCACGAAAGGCGUAACGAUCUGGGCACUGUCUCGACGAGGGGCUCGGUGAAAUUGUAGUACCGGUGAAGAUGCCGGUUACCUGCGAUAGGACAGAAAGACCCCGUGGAGCUUUACUGCAGCCUGAUAUUGGAUUUUGGUAGUUUAUGUACAGGAUAGGUGGGAGGCUAAGAAGGCAGGUCGCCAGGCUUGCUGGAGCCAUCGGUGGGAUACCACUCUUAAAUUGCUGGAGUUCUAACCUAGGUCCGUGAACCGGAUCAGGGACAGUUUCAGGCGGGCAGUUUGACUGGGGCGGUCGCCUCCUAAAGGGUAACGGAGGCGCCCAAAGGUUUCCUCAGCGCGGAUGGAAAUCGCGCGAAGAGUGUAAAGGCAUAAGGGAGCUUGACUGCGAGAGAGACAUUUCGAGCAGGGACGAAAGUCGGGCUUAGUGAUCCGGCGGUACCGAGUGGAAGGGCCGUCGCUCAUCGGAUAAAAGCUACCCCGGGGAUAACAGGCUUAUCUCCCCCAAGAGUUCACAUCGACGGGGAGGUUUGGCACCUCGAUGUCGGCUCAUCACAUCCUGGGGCUGGAGAAGGUCCCAAGGGUUGGGCUGUUCGCCCAUUAAAGUGGUACGUGAGCUGGGUUCAGAACGUCGUGAGACAGUUCGGUCCCUAUCCAUCGCAGGCGCAGGAGAAUUGAGAGGAUCUGUCCCUAGUACGAGAGGACCGGGAUGGACAGACCGCUGGUGUACCAGUUGUCUCGCCAGGGGCACAGCUGGGUAGCUAUGUCUGGAGAGGAUAAGCGCUGAAAGCAUCUAAGCGCGAAGCCGACCUCAAGAUGAGUUCUCCCACUCCGAUAAGGAGGUAAGAUCCCAUCAAGACUAGGUGGUAGAUAGGCCAGGAGUGUAAGUGCAGCGAUGCAUUAAGCAGACUGGUACUAAUAGAUCGAGGUCUUGACCUU